GGCAUGGUGGUGCAGUGGUUAGCACUGCUGUCCCACAACAUAAAAAAAUUGUGGGUUCGAACCCGGCCUAGGGCC